rnacentral:rRNA from 1 species
CCUACGGGAGGCAGCAGUGAGGAAUAUUGGUCAAUGGACGCGAGUCUGAACCAGCCAAGUAGCGUGAAGGAUGACUGCUUUAUGGGUUGUAAACUCCUUUUAUAUGGGAAUAAAUUGGUCCGAGUGUGUGAUUUCGUAGUUACCAUAUGAAUAAGGAUAGGCUAACUACAUGCCAGCAGCGGCGGCAAUACGGAGGUUCAGAGCGUUAUACUGGUUUAUUGGGUGUAAAGGGAGCGUAGGUGGGUUGUUAAGUCAGAUGUGAAAGUCUGCGGCUCAACCGUACAAUUGCAGCUGAAACUGGGAGUCUUGAGUACAGUAGAGGUCAGCGGAAGUCGUGGUGUAGCGGUGAAAUGCUUAGAUAUAACGAAGAACACCAGUGGCGAAGGCGGCUCACUGGACUGCAACUGACACUGAGGCUCGAAAGUGUGGGUAUCAAACAGGAUUAGAUACCCUUGUAGUC